GCGGGAUCGGCCGGCCACUGACCCACACCUUACUCUACGAGCACCUUUCGUUCUCCUUCGGCGGGGCGACCCGCCGCUGGAACCUCAUCACGAACCUUUUUUGCAUCUAGCAUUACCUGUUCUGAUAAAUUUAAUCGUUACAACUUUCAACAAUGGAUCUCUUGGCUCUGGCAUCGAUGAAGAACGCAGCGAAAUGCGAUAAGUAGUGUGAAUUGCAGAAUUCAGUGAAUCAUCGAAUCUUUGAACGCACAUUGCGCCCCUUGGUAUUCCAUGGGGCAUGCCUGUUCGAGCGUCAUCUACACCCUCAAGCUCUGCUUGGUGUUGGGCGUCUGUCCCGCCUCUGCGCGCGGACUCGCCCCAAAGGCAUUGGCAGCGGUCCACGGCCCCUCUCGCGCAGCACAUUGCGCUUCUCGAGGCGGCCCGGCCCGCGUCCACGAAGCCCACAUUACCGUCUUUGACCUCGGAUCAGGUAGGGAUACCCGCUGAACUUAAGC
rnacentral:rRNA from 1 species